UGUGUAGGCGGUUGUUUAAGUUUGGUGUGAAAUCUCCCGGCUCAACUGGGAGGGUGCGCCGAAUACUGAAUGACUAGAGUGCGGGAGAGGAAAGUGGAAUUCCUGGUGUAGCGGUGAAAUGCGUAGAUAUCAGGAGGAACACCGGUGGUGUAGACGGCUUUCUGGACCGUAACUGACGCUGAGACACGAAAGCGUGGGUAGCAAACA
rnacentral:rRNA from 1 species